rnacentral:lncRNA from 1 species
UGGAAAUAAGCUUAAAGAGGAAACAAGGAAGCACAUGCUUAUGACCUUGACCUAGACACAUAAUUUUAUUUAGGAAACAAGGGUAGCCACCCCUUGUAGUUAUUUAUGAAUCUUAGAUGUUGAUUUAGUUCAUUCUUCCUAUAUCAAAAAUUGUCUAAAUCACUCUAGUUACUUAUAUUGUUAUUUGGGGAACUUUUAAUUUAGCCUUUGAUUUCUCU